ensembl:lncRNA
GCCUCUCUGAGGAGUGUGAGGAGGACAGUUCCACCUCCAAUAAACACUCAGAUCUAGUCCAGCGGGAGAGAUCAGAUUCUUCAGCUCCCAGCUGUGUGUCCCUAAAGAGUGAUGAGUCUAAAGAUUGUCCACUGUGGUUUAAAAAUGGAGACCCCUUAUCUGGACCCAGUCUAGUCCAGCCGGAGAGAUCUGAUUCUUUGGCUCCCAGCUGUGGGUCCCUUAAAAGAGAUGAGUCUAAAGAUUGUCCACUGUGGUUUAAAGAUGGAGACCCCUCAUCUGGACACAGGUAACAGCUCCUCACAGUUCAGCCCUCAGACUCUCCAGUACUGAGUUGUAUUAUGGAUUCUGUGCAGG